UGAGGAAUAUUGGUCAAUGGGCGAGAGCCUGAACCAGCCAAGUAGCGUGCAGGAAGACGGCCCUAUGGGUUGUAAACUGCUUUUAUGCGGGGAUAAAGUGGGGGACGCGUCCCUUUUUGCAGGUACCGCAUGAAUAAGGACCGGCUAAUUCCGUGCCAGCAGCCGCGGUAAUACGGAAGGUCCGGGCGUUAUCCGGAUUUAUUGGGUUUAAAGGGAGCGUAGGCCGGAGAUUAAGCGUGUUGUGAAAUGUAGUGGCUCAACCUCUGCACUGCAGCGCGAACUGGUCUUCUUGAGUACGCACAACGUGGGCGGAAUUCGUGGUGUAGCGGUGAAAUGCUUAGAUAUUAGGAGGAACACCAGUGGCGAAGGCGGCUUUCU
rnacentral:rRNA from 1 species